rnacentral:rRNA from 1 species
GAUGAACGCUGGCGGCGUGCCUAAUACAUGCAAGUCGAGCGAACAGACGAGGAGCUUGCUCCUCUGACGUUAGCGGCGGACGGGUGAGUAACACGUGGAUAACCUACCUAUAAGACUGGGAUAACUUCGGGAAACCGGAGCUAAUACCGAAAAAUAAAUUAACCGCCAGGUUCAAUAAGUAAAGGAGGGUUUGCUUUCACCUUAUGAAGGAUCCGCGCCGCAUUAGCUAGUUGGUAAGGUAACGGCUUACCAAGGCAACGAUGCGUAGCCGACCUGAGAGGGUGAUCGGCCACACUGGAACUGAGACACGGUCCAGACUCCUACGGGAGGCAGCAGUAGGGAAUCUUCCGCAAUGGGCGAAAGCCUGACGGAGCAACGCCGCGUGAGUGAUGAAGGUCUUCGGAUCGUAAAACUCUGUUAUUAGGGAAGAACAAAUGUGUAAGUAACUAUGCACGUCUUGACGGUACCUAAUCAGAAAGCCACGGCUAACUACGUG